UUGGUUUGUAUGGGUAGAGGUAUCCUGUGUAAUAUUUAAGUCAUUUCAGUAGUUUGCAUUCCAGAACACUUUUGCUCGCGAAGUUCUGUUCUUUCCUUUUCAGGCGUGGUGAGUGACAGUGUUUGAAAUUCCGAUGUGUCAUUCCUGUUGUUGGCCAAGUCUGAUGAAUGGCGUUAGUGUGCUGUGGAGAUGACCAUCCUUAAUCGACCACGCCUCCGCUACGUUUUGGCUAUAGGCCCGUGGAAAAGUCGUCCCCUUAUCCGCUUAAAUCCAUUAGGUCUGUCCCGAGAAGCAAUCUACAUGCAAAGGGUUUUUCGGAGUUGAAGUUCCCCUGCGUCCCUACACNNNNNNNNNNNNNNNNNNNNNNNNNNNNNNNNNNNNNNNNNNNNNNNNNNNNNNNNNNNNNNNNNNNNNNNNNNNNNNNNNNNNNNNNNNNNNNNNNNNNNNNNNNNNNNNNNNNNNNNNNNNNNNNNNNNNACUACCUCUACUGCCACCGCCGCUGCGUCAGUCCGACAUAUGAUGGCAGCUGCGUAUUGCCUGCUGGUAAAAUUUUUGACGAGUUCAUGCAUGAAUUUUAAUGAUACAUUAAAGCAACAGCGCUUUUAUUUAAAAAAAGAAAGAGAAACGCAGCGCAUUCUUUGUAAACAAAAAAAAAGCGCUAUUGUAAAAGUAUUAACAUACAGAUUUUGCAAAUGCAGUUUCUGAGUAGUGACAUAAUGUUAUUGCACAGUGUUUUGGGGGUUUGGGAGGGGCAAAUGCGUUUCUCGAGUUCUCUUUCCCACAGGCCCUGGUCACAUUAGAGGCGAUAGAACGAAAAGGGAUUCCAGGAUGUUGUGUGGACCCUUUUAAAGUCAAAUUGUUGACUCCUCUGUAACGAUUCUUGCAAAGCUACAAGGAAAGCCUCUACUUUGAUGGCAUUUAGGAAGGUACCUCAUUGCAUUUGUUAAGUCGUGUUUGGAAUUGUGAACCAUAUACUUGCAUAAAUAUUUUCCAGUAUUUAAUGUCUGGGAUUGUCAUGGGCAAUGGGGUGGGAGGGGUGUGGGCCGUUAACCCAAAUCUUUUCCUAGACUUUGCAGCUUGUGAAAGCGGCUUUAUUUAAGGGUGGCAGUGGCUUGAAUAGCGCUGUAUGGGGGAAGGAACCACCAGUGUGUCUGCCAGUGGAUGAGUGGCCCUGUUACAAGCCUUCCAUGGCAGCUAGACCAGCGUUUACAUCUUUGGUAACGCGGCAUGGGAUCAAAUGCUUCCAUUUAUUUAACACGUCAUGAUGGCAUUCUUUUGUCUCAUUGAAUGGUCUAUUGAUAUUGGUUGUAUGUAUUGAUAUUGUUUAUGGGGUUUGUGUAUUUUGGGGGGGAUUGCUUAAUUUUUGACUCUUACAGAUUGAAACAAACCCUCAAAGAACAAAGCUGGUGGUCCAACCAAUAUCUGCUCCCAUCCCCCACUUAAGGAGCAAAGCUACUUCAGUAGAGGCCAAGAUGCUUUUAACGUUUUCUAAGGGCAAGUAAUGGGGUAUUCAUGUAAAUGGCAUUCAUUUGCUUUCGUCUGUCAUUGUAUUGUACUUGAAUACAAUUUCAUGGCUAAGUGUCUAUGCAGUAAUUGUAUUAGUUUCUUAUUGUUUGGUUACAUUUUUGUAUUUUAAAGAGCGGGGAUGUGUGUGUAGGCUUUCUUUUCCUCCCCCUUUGCAUUUUUCAGUGUGCAGUGUCCCUGAAUGCUUUCAACUGAAGAUGUCAUCCUAACAUUGUAUGUAAAGAUUUGCUUUCGCAUCAAUCAACUUCUGCCUCUUUUGGUCACGUAAGGUCACUAAGCAAGCCCAUUUGUUCCUAACCUUAUUCCAUUAAUAGUCUGUUACAAUUGUUAAGAUGUGUGGUCGAGCGCUUAUUACAAAUUAGCGUAGUAAUUUGUAUGUAAGUGUACAUUCUGUAACUGUUCCCAUUUUCAGUUAAUAAAUGCAUAGCUUGUUGUGAUUUGAAAUAUUUUGGUAUGCAUUUUGUUUCUUGGGGUAUGUCUGGGGCUUUCUUGGGUAUUUCUGUGCUUUUUCAGGUGUGAGUGUAAAGCUUGGCACGUUUUGUAGAGCUUGGAUGCCAGGGCUUGAUGGCGACUCUGUUCAAGGUGGAGAGGCAGAUCAGUCCAGUCCUACAACUGUACUCGGGUCGAAGGAAGAAAGGCAAAAUAUACAAAUUUAACUUGAAGAUAUGCUUUAUGCAUUAAAUUGUAGUCUCUUAUACAUAAGCCUACCAUUUUAAUAUCCGAUUCUUGUAGACUUUGUUUUUACUUGGAUAUUGGGCUGUUUUGUAAGGGUGGGCAGAGGGGGUCUUUUGUUUUUGCCAUUUUUGGUCUUGCAGAAUUUUACGAAGCCUCUUGAAGAAUGCCACUUCAUCCGGUUCCACUGAAUACUUCGGCAGGCAGGACAAUUCGUUGUGCUACAGAAGAUUUUAAACUGUACUAAACUUUUAAAAAUGUUUAAUUACCCAGCCGCUGCUCUGCGCAACUGUGCAGGGUGAAAGUUGCUUUACAAAUGUAUAGCAAUAGUCUGUUCAGCUGUUGCACAAAUGUGCUCCUAACUCCAAAUUUAGAGUGGCUGGGAAAAGCUGCGCAACUGUGCAGCUUUAUUUGGCGUUGGCUGUAUAACUGAAAGUUGUCUGGAAAAGAUGUGUUUGGGGUGGGGGGGGGCUUUGCACUUUUCUUUCUCUUCUGCAGAAAUCUCAUCAGCCAGCUGUGUGGUGAAAGUUACAUGAUGAUGUCCUGUGGAGUCUGUAGUUACCAGGUGUCUGAAUCUUUAAACUUGAUUGUAGAAUCCUCGUGCAACAUUUUGUAAUCUUCAGCAACGUCAAUCACCAAUGCUUCAGAAGCUACAGUUUUCUUUUUUGUGCUUUAUGCACUAAGUUUCUUUUACAUCUCUUAACUCCUUAGUAUUGAAGUCGGUGUGGUGGAAGUGUUUGUGUGUAGAAGCUCUUUGUUUCAGAUUACCCGUCUUGUCCCCCACCUUCUCAACUGCAUCUGAAUGCGAGGCUGUCUGUGAGAGCAGUUGCCCUGGUGAAUGUCUUCACUUGAAUGAAUGGCGAUCAAAUCCUGCUACCGUGCACUUGAGAGCUUUGUCCAAACCUCGGAAGCCCUUCACUGAAGUCCCUUUGUGUGUCUGCGCGUCUUUCCCUUUUUUUCUUUUUUCUUUUUUUUUUCCCUUCAAUUCUUGAUUUUCUUAGGUCAAUUUCACUUAGGGAGCAAAAUUGUCUUGUCGUCUGGGAGAGCUCUAACCGCCUGAUGAAACCAGUCGCUCUGAUCAACCUCGUUCGUCAUAUUUUGCUGCUAAUUGAGUAUCGCUCUGCUGCUAUCUGCUGAGUUAAGUACAUGUAGUUGAUCUUAAUCUUAUGUGUGGGUAGAACAAACAUUCACUUUUUCAUAAAUAUGCAUGCACGUAACACUUGCACUAAAAUUUCAAUCAAAUCCAAUGUUAGUGUUUGGAAUUUGGGAGGGGUGGGGCAACACUUUCUCUCUUUUCAGGUAUGCUGUUGUGAUUCUUCUAAAAUUGAGACUGGGCCAUAACAUGGGAGUGGAUGGAUGUGCUUGCAUCAAAGCAAUUGUGUAACAAGUAUUUGCAAUGGAUUGUAAAUUGAUUUAAAUUGUAUUGGGAUGGGGAGGGA
rnacentral:lncRNA from 1 species